rnacentral:rRNA from 6 species
AAAUUGAAGAGUUUGAUCAUGGCUCAGAUUGAACGCUGGCGGCAGGCCUAACACAUGCAAGUCGAACGGUAACAGGAAGCAGCUUGCUGCUUCGCUGACGAGUGGCGGACGGGUGAGUAAUGUCUGGGAAACUGCCUGAUGGAGGGGGAUAACUACUGGAAACGGUGGCUAAUACCGCAUAACGUCGCAAGACCAAAGAGGGGGACCUUCGGGCCUCUUGCCAUCAGAUGUGCCCAGAUGGGAUUAGCUUGUUGGUGAGGUAACGGCUCACCAAGGCGACGAUCCCUAGCUGGUCUGAGAGGAUGACCAGCCACACUGGAACUGAGACACGGUCCAGACUCCUACGGGAGGCAGCAGUGGGGAAUAUUGCACAAUGGGCGCAAGCCUGAUGCAGCCAUGCCGCGUGUAUGAAGAAGGCCUUCGGGUUGUAAAGUACUUUCAGCGGGGAGGAAGGUGUUGUGGUUAAUAACCGCAGCAAUUGACGUUACCCGCAGAAGAAGCACCGGCUAACUCCGUGCCAGCAGCCGCGGUAAUACGGAGGGUGCAAGCGUUAAUCGGAAUUACUGGGCGUAAAGCGCACGCAGGCGGUCUGUCAAGUCGGAUGUGAAAUCCCCGGGCUCAACCUGGGAACUGCAUUCGAAACUGGCAGGCUUGAGUCUUGUAGAGGGGGGUAGAAUUCCAGGUGUAGCGGUGAAAUGCGUAGAGAUCUGGAGGAAUACCGGUGGCGAAGGCGGCCCCCUGGACAAAGACUGACGCUCAGGUGCGAAAGCGUGGGGAGCAAACAGGAUUAGAUACCCUGGUAGUCCACGCCGUAAACGAUGUCUACUUGGAGGUUGUGCCCUUGAGGCGUGGCUUCCGGAGCUAACGCGUUAAGUAGACCGCCUGGGGAGUACGGCCGCAAGGUUAAAACUCAAAUGAAUUGACGGGGGCCCGCACAAGCGGUGGAGCAUGUGGUUUAAUUCGAUGCAACGCGAAGAACCUUACCUGGUCUUGACAUCCACGGAAGUUUUCAGAGAUGAGAAUGUGCCUUCGGGAACCGUGAGACAGGUGCUGCAUGGCUGUCGUCAGCUCGUGUUGUGAAAUGUUGGGUUAAGUCCCGCAACGAGCGCAACCCUUAUCCUUUGUUGCCAGCGGUCCGGCCGGGAACUCAAAGGAGACUGCCAGUGAUAAACUGGAGGAAGGUGGGGAUGACGUCAAGUCAUCAUGGCCCUUACGACCAGGGCUACACACGUGCUACAAUGGCGCAUACAAAGAGAAGCGACCUCGCGAGAGCAAGCGGACCUCAUAAAGUGCGUCGUAGUCCGGAUUGGAGUCUGCAACUCGACUCCAUGAAGUCGGAAUCGCUAGUAAUCGUGGAUCAGAAUGCCACGGUGAAUACGUUCCCGGGCCUUGUACACACCGCCCGUCACACCAUGGGAGUGGGUUGCAAAAGAAGUAGGUAGCUUAACCUUCGGGAGGGCGCUUACCACUUUGUGAUUCAUGACUGGGGUGAAGUCGUAACAAGGUAACCGUAGGGGAACCUGCGGUUGGAUCACCUCCUUACCUUAAAGAAGC